rnacentral:rRNA from 1 species
GAUGAACGCUGGCGGCGUGCCUAAUACAUGCAAGUCGAACGCUGGAGAUCUAGCUUGCUAGCUCGAAGGAGUGGCGAACGGGUGAGUAAUACAUAAGCAACCUACCCACGAAGACUGGGAUAAUCUCUGGAAACGGGGACUAAUACCGGAUAGGUAAUCGGAAGGCAUCUUCUGGUUAUUAAAGGUUAAAAACACUGGUGGAUGGGCUUAUGGCGCAUUAGUUAGUUGGUGAGGUAACGGCCCACCAAGACGAUGAUGCGUAGCCGGCCUGAGAGGGUGAACGGCCACAUUGGGACUGAGACACGGCCCAGACUCCUACGGGAGGCAGCAGUAGGGAAUUUUCGGCAAUGGGGGCAACCCUGACCGAGCAACGCCGCGUGAGUGAAGACGGCCUUCGGGUUGUAAAGCUCUGUUGUAAGGGAAGAACGGUAGAUAGAGAAUAUCUAAGUGACGGUACCUUACCAGAAAGCCACGGCUAACUACGU